rnacentral:rRNA from 1 species
UACGUAGGGGGCAAGCGUUGUCCGGAAUUAUUGGGCGUAAAGAGCUCGUAGGCGGUCUGUCACGUCGGAUGUGAAAGCCCGGGGCUUAACCCCGGGUCUGCAUUCGAUACGGGCAGACUAGAGUGUGGUAGGGGAGAUCGGAAUUCCUGGUGUAGCGGUGAAAUGCGCAGAUAUCAGGAGGAACACCGGUGGCGAAGGCGGAUCUCUGGGCCAUUACUGACGCUGAGGAGCGAAAGCGUGGGGAGCGAACAGG